UCCAGACUCCUACGGGAGGCAGCAGUGGGGGAUAUUGCACAAUGGGGGGAACCCUGAUGCAGCGACGCCGCGUGGGUGAAGAAGCGCCUCGGCGCGUAAAGCCCUGUCAGCAGGGAAGAAAAUGACGGUACCUGAAGAAGAAGCCCCGGCUAACUACGUGCCAGCAGCCGCGGUAAUACGUAGGGGGCAAGCGUUAUCCGGAUUUACUGGGUGUAAAGGGAGCGUAGACGGCGAUACAAGUCUGAAGUGAAAGCCCGGGGCUCAACCCCGGGACUGCUUUGGAAACUGUGUUGCUGGAGUGCUGGAGAGGCAAGCGGAAUUUCUAGUGUAGCGGUGAAAUGCGUAGAUAUUAGGAAGAACACCAGUGGCGAAGGCGGCUUGCUGGACAGUAACUGACGUUGAGGCUCGAAAGCGUGGGGAGCAAACAGGAUUAGAUACCCUAGUA
rnacentral:rRNA from 1 species